UAGUUCAGCACUAAGUCACUUUGUCUUAAUGGCAAAUGUGAGAUGCAGUGUAUGGAAUGUCAAAUUUCUAGUAUGAGAAAUUAACGAUUUAAGUCCUUCUUAAAUGAGGCCAUUUACCCAAAGAGGGUGCCAGGCCCGUAUAACGUUAAUGAUUACUAGAUGGCAUUUCCAAAGAGUCGUGUUGCUUGAUAGUGCAGCACUAAGUGGGUGGUAAACUCCAUCUAAAACUAAAUAUAACCAUGAGACCGAUAGUAAACAAGUACCGUGAGGGAAAGUUGAAAAGAACUCUGAAUAGAGAGUUAAAUAGUACGUGAAACUGCUUAGAGGUUAAGCCCGAUGAACCUGAAUAUCCAUUAUAGAAAAUUCAUCAUUAUGAUUUUAAUAUUUAUAAUAUUAUAAUAAUGGUGUGCAUUUUUUCUAUAAAAGGACAUUGUAAUCUAUUAACAUCAAAUAUUUAUCAAAAGAUCAAUUGCAAAUGUUUAUUCAAAUUAUUUUGCUUGCAAUUUAACAUAGAAUAAAUGCUUUUGAUUUGAUAAAGUGUUGAUAGAUUUAUUAUAUAUAGUGCUUGAAUAUUUAUAUUCUAUAAUAGCAUAUUAAUCAUUGAUUUUUAUGUUUAUUAUAUGCACUUAUAUGAUUAACAAUGCGAAAGAUUCAGGAUACCUUCGGGACCCGUCUUGAAACACGGACCAAGGAGUCUAACAUAUUUGCAAGUUAUUGGGAAUAAAAACCUAAUAGCGAAAUUAACAUAACUUAUUUAAUGGGAUUAAUUUUUAGCCUAUUUAUAGUCUAUUAAUUCAAUCCCGGGGCGUUCUAUAUAGUUAUGUAUAAUAAUAUUUAUAUUAUUUAUACCUCUAACUAGAGCGUACCUUGAGCAUAUAUGCUGUGACCCGAAAGAUGGUGAACUAUACUUGAUCAGGUUGAAGUCAGGGGAAACCCUGAUGGAAGACCGAAACAGUUCUGACGU
rnacentral:rRNA from 1 species